rnacentral:misc_RNA from 1 species
GAUGAAGAACGCAGCGAAAUGCGAUGAGUAGUGUGAAUUGCAGAAUUCAGUGAAUCAUCGAAUCUUUGAACGCACAUUGCGCCCCUUGGUAUUCCGAGGGGCAUGCCUGUUCGAGCGUCAUUAUAACCCCUCAAGCUCAGCUUGGUGUUGGGGCCUGCCGCACGGGCAGCCCUUAAAAUCAGUGGCGGUGCCAUCUGGCUCUAAGCGUAGUAAUUCUUCUCGCUAUAGAGUUCCGGUGGAUGCUUGCCAUUAACCCCCAAUUUUCUAUGGUUGACCUCGGAUCAGGUAGGGAUACCCGCUGAACUUAAGCAUAUCAAUAAGCGGAGGA